GCACAAGACAACCAACAUUUAAGUUUAACAAACGGUGUGAACUGUCAUUGUAUCGGCUGCCAGUAAGAUCUGCAAAAUUAGAAAGCCUGUUGAACAACUAAGCUUUAUUGCCCUAUCAAACGAAAGGGGGCUACAGAGAGUAUCUGAAUUAGCGUAUGGAAAACCUAAAUUAGGAAGGAAAGGGCAAGCAAAUUUACCUCUGCAUUGGGGAAGAUGGUCUCUCCACCCUUCUCAACAUUAGAUAGAUACAUGAGCACCGUCGCGAUUCGAUGCCCCCCAAGGGCUUGGUUGUUUUUGUCAUGGAAGUAAUCAUAGUGUGGCUCAUACUUCUCUCCAUUCUUAUAAUGUAAUAUUUGAAUGGAUUCACCAUUCUCUGAGCAUGGGCAGAAAUAACAGUUUUGAGUAAUGAAAAAUUAGAAAAAUGUAAGGUGUGAUUGUAAAGUUCAAUUAAGGUUACCUGAUGGAA